AGCAGUAGCCGCGGUAAUACGGAGGGUGCAAGCGUUAAUCGGAAUUACUGGGCGUAAAGCGCACGCAGGCGGUCUGACAAGUCAGAUGUGAAAUCCCCGGGCUUAACCUGGGAACUGCAUUUGAAACUGUCAGGCUGGAGUCUUGUAGAGGGGGGUGGAAUUCCAGGUGUAGCGGUGAAAUGCGUAGAGAUCUGGAGGAAUACCGGUGGCGAAGGCGGCCCCCUGGACAAAGACUGACGCUCAGGUGCGAAAGCGUGGGAAGCAAACAGGAUUAGAUACCCGCGUAGUCCCUGUCUCUUAUAC
rnacentral:rRNA from 1 species